rnacentral:rRNA from 1 species
GACGAACCGUGCGAACGUUGUUCGGAAUCACUGGGCUUAAAGGGCGCGUAGGCGGGCAUUCAAGUCGGUGGUGAAAUCCUCCAGCCUAACUGGAGAAGAGCUGUCGAUACUGGAUGUCUCGAGGGGUGCAGGGGUCUGCGGAACUUCGGGUGGAGCGGUGAAAUGCGUAGAGAUCCGAAGGAACGCCGGUGGCGAAAGCGGCGGACUGGGGCACCUUCUGACGCUGAGGCGCGA